GACGAACGCUGGCGGCGUGCUUAACACAUGCAAGUCGAGCGAUGAAGUUCCUUCGGGAAUGGAUUAGCGGCGGACGGGUGAGUAACACGUGGGUAACCUGCCUCAUAGAGGGGAAUAGCCUUCCGAAAGGAAGAUUAAUACCGCAUAAGAUUGUAGUAUCGCAUGAUACAGCAAUUAAAGGAGUAAUCACGCUAUGAGAUGGACCCGCGUCGCAUUAGCUAGUUGGUGAGCUAACGGCUCUCCAAGGCGACGAUGCGUAGCCGACCUGAGAGGGUGAGAGGCCACAUUGGGGCUAGGACACUGCCCGGAAUCCUACGGGAGGCAGCAGAGGGGAAUAUUGCACAAUGGGGGAAACCCUGAUGCAGCCACGCCGCGUGAGUGAUGACGGUCUUCGGAUUGUAAAGCUCUGUCUUCAGGGACGAUAAUGACGGUACCCGAGGAGGAAGCCACGGCUAACUACGUGCCAGCAGCCGCCGUAACAC
rnacentral:rRNA from 1 species